AUUCAAAUCUCCACCGAUGAAAAUCUUCUCUUCAUUCUGUAUCCGUUGCAUUAGAUCAUCCAAAUCCUCCUAAAACCUUUGUUUACUCUCACGAUCUAGUUUUACUUGUGGGGUAUAAGCACUAACUACAUUUAUAUGUUAAAUGAUGCACGAUGUAUUGUCUCUGAAAAGGCAUUUAUACUGGAUUUUCUGCAACAAUUGUAAAAUUUUUCCUCACUGUGUAUUAUAGAUAUUACCACGAAUGAGAUUUUCAGUGCUUGGUACUAAAUGCAUCUUGUUUGCCUCGUAGGACCAUCUUGCAGCGGCACGUGAUCCAAAGAGGGUGGCUUAAAUCUUUGA
rnacentral:misc_RNA from 1 species